GUGUUGCUGACUGUGUGGACGGCGGUCAGGAUAACUGUGUCGAUAUGGGCAAACUAAAGGGGCAUUCCUCACAUCCUCUCCCCUGAUAUCCUUCACCUCCUCGCUGUGACGGGGCCACGGGAGAUGAAAUAGGUAAGUGAAAAUACAAGAGCAUUCAGAGUGACACUUGUGGAAGAAGGACGAGAAGAAUUUUAAAGGUAAGGUUUGGUAAUUUAAGAAACUUGUCUGAGAGAGAGAGAGAGAGAGAGAGAGAGAGAGAGAGAGAGAGAGAGAGAGAGAGAGAGAGAGAGAGAGAGAGAGAGAGAGAGAGAGAGAGAGAGAGAGACGAAA